CGCAGAGUAGCCAAGUGGUAAGGCCUCCGGCUCAUAACCGGAAUAUCGCGGGUUCAAUUCCCGCCUCUGCAACCA
rnacentral:tRNA from 1 species